UGAAACCGACGUCCCUUUGUUUCCCCUUCGUCCCUUGAAACCCUACCAUUGUAUAACUGCUUCACUAAUGAUUUCAUUACCAUCCCCUCCUUCAAUUCCCAUUCAAAACUCCUGGUGAUGUUCCAAGCCGAGAAGAAACGGGGACGACGGUGACGAUGGGCACUCCGGUAACAUUAUGGGUUUUAAAAUUGAUCUUGUACGGGGAUGACGAUGAUGACGCGUACUCAGGAAAAAAAGACGACAUUUGCUUGUUAGUUCAAUUAUCAUAAGGGCAUUGAAGUUUCCCAUGGAGUCUUUUCAGCCAUGGGCACCAAAAUCAAAGGGGGUUUUCAAAUGGCUUCAAGUUCAUCUCAGAUCUUUAGUACCCCUCUUGAGAUAUGUAUUUUAAAGUAUUUUAUAUAUAUUUAUUUUUAAUUUUUGAAUAUUUUUAAAGUAUUUUAUAUUCUUUGGAUUACUGUGAUGACCCAAACUGUUUAGACAUUUAACCCACUUGAAAUCCACAUUUUGAUAGUAUGUAUAUAAUGGUCCUGAGCGUUAUGAAUUUCUAUGGUCUUUUAUCAACCCUCUUAUUUGUUCAUAAUGGGUCCUUUUUUAAUGCAGGUAAAGACGAGUCGUUUAGGUUGAUCAAAAGUCCUUUUGUCUAAACGGAUCUACAAGGAAAUGGCAAUUAAAGGCAAGGAGAUAUACUAGAGCGAAAUGGCGCAGGGCGAGUUCAAUGGCAGCAACUAACCAACAAGGAAAUAAAAAAUGGUUACACUUGUGUAGAAAGGUGCAAACGUUGUUGAUUCAAACCAGAGCAUGGAGCAGUACUAAGAGUAAAAACUCUACACAUUAGUUCUCCAAUUUUGGCGGUACUAAGUCUGUUUUUCUACAAGGUGAAUCUCAAUAUUCAAAUAGACUCAACAGCUUGUCGGGUCAGAUAUACUUGUAUUUGAUGAAUAUAGAACAGAGUUGGAGCAAGGUGAUUUCUAUGCCCGUGGUCUUGCUAUCAUGAGAGUUAUGAUUAAGGAAUGUGUCAGGGGAGUCCUUAGAGACAAGACGAUGUUACUUGUACCUCUUUAACUUGAAUGAAGUUAUCAUACGGUCGUUGAAUUUUCGUUGUCGCCACAUGUUUUACACAUGUUGGAUCCCCGCCGCAACGCGUGGGCUCCCCACUAGUAAGUAAUAACAUAACAAGUCUUAGUACUUAAAAUUCAAACAUUAACAAAUAGCUCAAAUGUAAUCGUCAUCCCCGUAGUGUUCAAUGAUUUCGACACCAUCCAACUCGUAUUCAAUCUCCUCGUCUACUUCAUCCUCUUUCUUCGACUCAAAUUCUUUGUCAUAUUAGGGUAAGGGAUAAGGAAAAUGGGCUAAAGUUGUAAUCUUGGGCCUGUUUUGUAAGGAUUUCAAAUGGGCCGACUAGGGCGACUUGGGCCGACUAGGGCGGCUUGGACCGGCUUUGACCGACUAGCGAUUUUUUGACUGAUUAGUGAAAAAUUACUCAGUAG